GGUUUUUCCGCUGGCCUCAUGAUGAGCAUGUCAUUUUUGGACUUGACCCAUGAUGCUCUGAACUCUGUUGGCUUUCUAAAGGGUAACAUUUGGAAAUAGAAGCAUCAUUAUCUCAAAUAUCAGGAGGAUGAUCCAUGGAGGGCGACAACGAAGACAAAUAUACAAGAGACGGAACCACAGACAUCAGAGGCAACCCUGCAGUAAAAGAGAGCACAGGAAGAUGGAGAGCCUGCCCAUACAUUCUUGAUGAAGAAAUAGGAGAGCAGGGGCAUGAGAAGAAGCCAAUGAUGUAGAGAGUGAAGGACAAGGUGAAGAAGCCAGAGAUGAAGAUGAAGGAGACUAUUAGCAAGAAGAUGCAUCAUGGUCAUGACGACGGCCGUAGAG